rnacentral:rRNA from 1 species
CAUUGCGAAAAGUCAUGCGACCUGCACUCUUUGAGAAGCAUUACUCUUUGAACGCACCUUGCGCGCAUUAACUUAUUAGUGCGAGGUCCUGUUUGAGCAUUUACUAGUUACGGUUAUAGGUGGUUGCUUUUACUCUUUCUUGAAAUUGAAAUGGCAACUGAAAAGAAUGCGGGAGCCCAAACGACUCUAGGGCAAGAGGUUGCAGCCAUGCGACCAUGCGAGAAACGUAGCGCGACAAGCACCACUACGAUCAAGCAUACCGCUUUGCUGGUUGACGACUAACCCUCGACAAUGACCAGAAAAAUACAUUACAUUAAUCUCAAAUCAGGAUAGAGGACCCGCUGAACUUAAGCAUAUCAGUAAGCGGAGGAAAAGAAACUAACGAGGAUUCCCCCAGUAACGGCGAGUGAAGCGGGAGCAGCCCAUGAAGGAAUCAUGCAGUGGCAUGAAAUGUGUCGUGGAGAGGGGCGAGCGCAAACUAGCAGUGGUAGUGAGUUCCCUGGAAAGGGACGGCAUAGAGGGUGAAACCCCCGUGACAACCAUUCAAGUAGUGACUUGCCCCCCAGCGAGUCGGAUUGUUUGGGAAUGCAAUCCCAAUUGGGUGGUACGCGCCAUCUAAGGCUAAACAAGGGCAAGAGACCGAUAGCAAACAAGUACCGUGAGGGAAAGAUGAAAAGGACUCUGAAGAGAGAGUCAAAAGUGCGUGAAAUUGCGGCAAGGGAAACGAACGAAGGGAGAAGGAGGGAAAGGAUAAGGGGUGGAUUGGAGGUGAUUGGAGGUGGCAGGUCACACUGCACAUAGAGCAAUGACCAACUAGUCUACACUUUAACCGUUCACUUGGGCCCCUCGUUUGACCCGUCUUG